rnacentral:rRNA from 1 species
UUUUUAACUCAAGUGGCGGACGGGUGAGUAACACGUAAGAAUUUGCCUUUAGGAGGGGGAUAACAACUGGAAACGGUUGCUAAUACCCCAUAUGCUUUCGAGUGAAAUGGAUUUUUCCGCCUAAAGAGAAGCUUGCGGCUGAUUAGCUUGUUGGUAAGGUAAUGGCUUACCAAGGCGACGAUCAGUAUCUGGUUUGAGAGGACGAUCAGACACACUGGAACUGAGACACGGUCCAGACUCCUACGGGAGGCAGCAGUGGGGAAUUUUCCGCAAUGGGCGAAAGCCUGACGGAGCAAUACCGCGUGAGGGAUGACGGCCUAUGGGUUGUAAACCUCUUUUUUCAGGGAGGAAUAAAAUGACGUGUACCUGAAGAAUAAGCAUCGGCUAACUCCGUGCCAGCAGCCGCGGUAAGACGGAGGAUGCAAGUGUUAUCCGGAAUCACUGGGCGUAAAGCGUCUGUAGGUGGUCAAAUAAGUCAACUGUUAAAUCUUGAGGCUCAACCUCAAAAUCGCAGUCGAAACUAUUAGACUAGAGUAUAGUAGGGGUAAAGGGAAUUUCCAGUGGAGCGGUGAAAUGCGUAGAUAUUGGAAAGAACACCGAUGGCGAAGGCACUUUACUGGGCUAUUACUAACACUCAGAGACGAAAGCUAGGGUAGCAAAUGGGAUUAGAUACCCCAGUAGUCCUAGCUGUAAACAAUGGAUACUAGAUGUUGGACAGAUCGACCUGUGCAGUAUCAAAGCUAACGCGUUAAGUAUCCCGCCUGGGAAGUAUGCUCGCAAGAGUGAAACUCAAAGGAAUUGAC